ACAGCAUAAAGAAACCUCCUUCAAAAGGUGCAGACUCCCUGCUGCUAUCAACACAGCCCAAGCAUGGGCUGAGGACCACGAGCAGCAUGCGGUAUUAUGGUGAGGUGCUGCGAAACAUGUGGCAGAGCUGAGGAGAUUUUCGGCAAGGACAUUUUAAGCUCCCAGAUCCUUUACAGGGGAUGACCCCAGUCACCAGCAGAGCAUGAUGGGUGGAGAGUUAGCACACUGACAUCAGUUAUCCAGAAAAGGAGAGAUGAGACAAGUAGCAAAACAGAGGUGCAAAGAGCUGAGAGCAGUGAGUGCUUUGUGCCAUCACCCCUUCUGCAUCAGCACAGGAAGCUGCUAAUGUGAGGACCAGAAGCUCACUGCAUCCUAUUCCCUUCAGCAGCCCAUGAGGAAACCAGAAAAUGGCACCGUGCUGGUUCAAGUGGUAUGAAAAUGAAACAAGAGCUCAGAUGCACAUCUGCCACAGUAAAGAAAUGCAAGAGAACUUUCUUAAUAAAUUAAAUGCUAUAUUGGAUAAGAUUCCAUUUCAAUUGGAAACUCAUUUUAAAUUAACGACAAGUUUAAGAAGUUAUUAUCUAAGACUUAAUUGCAUAUAUUAUGUUUGUAGCCUUAGGCAUCACAGAUAUUCCUUUAAUGUUCCCUCCAAUAUAUUGGAUCACGGAGCAAUCACAAAAUACUGAGCUGGAAGGGACCUCUGGGGAUCAUGAAGUCCAAGCUCCUGGUUGAUUCUGCUUGAUGAAUGCCCCAAAGACAACGAAGGGAAGGAAAUUUCCCCAGUUCAGAAGUUUUGACUGUUGGAUGAAAAACACACAAGCAAUCUUUUAAAGAGGCCACACUCAGGCUGUGAAAAACCUCUACAAACCUUCUGGCAGCAGUAGGUUUGGGCCUGUUUGCAGGGAACUUGCAACAUUUUCCUUGUACUACAUUUGAAAGCAUAUGGGCUGUCAUUAGCAUGUUAAGAGUCCACUUUUGACAGCCACACAUCACAAAAAUAGAAGAUUUUCAAGACACAGCGCGAGUGUUUGGAACAAUAUCAGAUAUUUUCCUUUGAAACAUAAAAUGCCAGAUGCAUCCAAUAAUCAGAGCCCAUGACCAUGACCACACAGGACCAGCACAGUAUCUCGUGACUCCUUUUACUCAGUUCCUCCUGUUAUUCAACAGCACCACGUUCUUCAAAUGUUUGUUUAACCUAGAAUGUUUGCUUAAUUAAAAGCAAUCUUUGCUAU
ensembl:lncRNA